rnacentral:rRNA from 1 species
AGUGAACGCUGGCGGUAGGCCUAACACAUGCAAGUCGAACGGCAGCACAGUAAGAGCUUGCUCUUACGGGUGGCGAGUGGCGGACGGGUGAGGAAUACAUCGGAAUCUACUUUUUCGUGGGGGAUAACGUAGGGAAACUUACGCUAAUACCGCAUACGACAUACGGGUGAAAGCAGGGGAUCUUCGGACCUUGCGCGAUUGAUUGAGCCGAUGUCGGAUUAGCUAGUUGGCGGGGUAAAGGCCCACCAAGGCGACGAUCCGUAGCUGGUCUGAGAGGAUGAUCAGCCACACUGGAACUGCGACACGGUCCAGACUCCUACGGGAGGCAGCAGUGGGGAAUAUUGGACAAUGGGCGCAAGCCUGAUCCAGCCAUACCGCGUGGGUGAAGAAGGCCUUCGGGUUGUAAAGCCCUUUUGUUGGGAAAGAAAAGCAGCAGGUUAAUACCCCGCUGUUCUGACGGUACCCAAAGAAUAAGCACCGGCUAACUUCGUG